ACACACACACGGUGACUCCUCCUUUCUCUCCUCCUCUCAGUCGGCCCUGUGACUCCAAGCCGGGACGGUAUAACAGUUGCCCGCAGAGGGGGGAGCCGCGGUGGAAGGAGAGGGUCAGCAGCCUCAGCAGCAGCAGUAGUUGGGCGCACCGACCGAAGGAUGCUCCAGCGCAGCCAUGACUUGCUCGGCGUCAGAUAGCGAGAAGAUCGUGAUCAACUGCGGUGGGAUUCGACAUGAGACCUACCGGAGCACCUUGAAGACGCUGCCCGGGACGCGCUUGUCCUGGCUGACCGAGCCCGACGCUUACAGCAACUUCGACUACGACCCCAAGUCCGAUGAGUUCUUCUUCGACCGCCACCCGGCCACGUUCGCCUUCAUCCUCAAUUACUACCGCACCGGCAAGCUCCACUGCCCCAACGACGUCUGCGGGCCGCUCUUCGAGGAGGAGCUCGCCUUCUGGGGCAUCGACGAGACGGACGUGGAGGCAUGCUGCUGGAUGAACUACCGGCAGCACCGCGACGCCGAGGAAGCCCUGGACAGCUUUGAGACUCCCGAGCCGGACGCGCCGGAGGACGACCCGGCGCUCACCGGCGGGGCCGACGGCGACCUGAAGCGGCUGUGCAUGCAGGAGGACGGCCGCAGGACGACGUGGUGGGAUGUGUGGCAGCCCAAGAUGUGGGCGCUGUUCGAGGACCCUUACUCCUCCAAAUACGCGCGGUAUGUGGCUUUUGGCUCACUCUUCUUCAUCCUCCUCUCCAUCUCCACCUUCUGCCUGGAGACCCACGAAGCCUUUAACACCAUCUAUAACAAAACUGAGAAUGUCACUGUCGACAAUGUGGUCCGCGAGGAGAUAGUGUAUGAGGUGGUUACAGAUGGCUGGCUGACAUAUGUGGAGGGUGUGUGCGUCAUCUGGUUCACCAUUGAGGUGUUGCUGCGCGUCAUCUUCUGUCCCGACAAGGCAGAAUUCUUCCGCAGCACCCUUAACAUCAUAGACUUUGUGGCCAUCGUGCCCUUUUACCUGGAGGUGGCGCUGAGCGGCCUCUCCUCCAAAACAGCCAAAGAUGCGCUGAGCUUUCUGCGUGUGGUACGCUUCGUCCGCAUCCUGCGUAUAUUCAAGCUUACCCGCCACUUUGUCGGUUUACGGGUCUUGGGCCACACUCUGCGGGCGAGCACCAACGAGUUCCUGCUGCUCAUCAUUUUCCUGGCACUGGGUGUCCUCAUCUUUGCUACCAUGAUCUACUACGCCGAACGCAUCGGUGCCGACCCAGAUGAUCCAACGGCUGCAGCCCACACCAAUUUCAAGAACAUCCCAAUUGGCUUCUGGUGGGCCGUGGUGACCAUGACCACACUGGGAUAUGGGGAUAUGUACCCUGAGACAUGGUCGGGAAUGUUGGUGGGUGCCCUCUGUGCCCUGGCGGGUGUGCUGACCAUUGCUAUGCCCGUGCCUGUGAUUGUCAACAACUUCGGCAUGUACUACUCCCUGGCCAUGGCCAAGCAGAAGCUCCCCAAGAAGAGGAACAAACACAUCCCGAGAGCGCCACAGCCUGGCAGCCCUAACUACUGCAAGCCAGAUGCCCUUGCCAUGGCAACUGCCUCACCACACAGGUUGAUGGGCAAUGUGCUAGGGCCAGGCAUGGUGGGAUCUGGCAGCAUAAUGGGCACCGGAGACUGCCCGCUGGCACAGGAAGAGAUCAUCGAGAUCAACAGGGCAGACUCCAAACCAAAUGGCGAUGCGGCAGCCAACGCGGCGGCCCUGGCCAACGAGGACUGCCCGACCAUCGACCAGGUCCUCGGGGACGAGCGCAGCCCAGCCACAGGGGGCCUCGGCUCCACCACCAGCCGCGAGCGCUACCCUCAUGACCGGGCCUGCUUCCUGCUGAGCGCAGGGGAGUUCCAGCGCACAACGGAUGGGAAUGUUCGAAAAGUAGGAGGCAAUGCAAACGGCUACUGGAGGGACAGCCCGUGGGAGAAGAAGAGCGGAUGAUGAGCGCCCACACACACAGGAAGAAGAGACACAGAGAGAAAGAGAGAGAGAGAGAGAGAAAGAAAGAAAGAAUGCAACAACAGGGACAAACACAGAAAUAUGCAAUGUAGAUAGACGAGACAGCGGCGGUUGGACCUGCGUGUUCACAUAUAAUGUAUUGUUACACUUGAGGAGUGUGCACGAGGAUGUGUUUGUAUGCGUGCGUGUGUUUGAGUACCCAGACCUGCAUCUACCUCUGUACUAAGAUGCACAAAUGUCAACUUGGAAAAUUUUCUUUUUGGUUUGACUUUUGAAAGGGACGAUUCCGGUCACCUUUCAGUCAAAGAGUGUACUUUUGUUUUUACCGAUUGCUCCCCUUCUUUUGGUUUCAUACUGGACUGUUGAUCUGUAACGGUGAGCUCACUCAUUGUGGUAGACAGUAAUUACAUGUCUAUUGGUUAGAUUUUUUGCACCCUAAACCUUUGCUCUCGCCUCGACUCUCUCCCAGAUGAAAGUAAAAGAACCGGUCAGAAGAGAGAAAUCCCCAACGUCUGGUCUUAGACUCUUCUGAUUCAUUUUAGAUCUGCUUAAAAUGGCGGAGAACAAAAAAACAACAGCAAAAGUAUUAUUUUUUAUAUUCAAGCUGGGAGUGUCGGGAGGAGAGAGCACCUAUAUGAAUAUAAUUGUACAUUUUAGUUUGGAAUUUUAGGGGGGAGAGAAAAAAAAAUCGCUUAUUCACUUUCUUGCUUGAGAGCGAGGCUUGAAUCUCUGGGCUCUGUGUUUGAAGCUAUAGCUAGAAAGUGAUUAGCGUAGCCUAGAUUUAAGACGGGAGGGAGCGGCUAAUAUCUGACCUGAUUCUGUCCAAAUCCGGAAAUAGUGCACCGCCGCGCCGCCUCAAGAGACUCACUAAUUAACACAUUAUUUAACAAGGACUCCAACGGAAGCAGGGCUUGCCAACUUUAAAAUAUAGAUUGGAGCGAGAUUUAGUGGGAGGCGAAGUCGGCGCUUUUUAGCCACCGCGUGGGUCAGGGUCGCCUGGAAUUUUCUCCCGGACGAAAAGUCUUGUGGCGGUUAAGCUUGAAUAGAAGUCAGUGGAGUUCUGUGAAAAUCACUGUCGGCAAACCGGUGGUCUCAUGCAUUAGAUCUUAAGGUAUUGUAAUAUCCAACAGCUAAACCAGUGGGUCAAAAAAAAGGUCAACCUGCUUCUGGUUUUAAAGGGACGUGAAACCAUCAGCUGUAUUAAAUUUUGGUCUGGAAUAAUAUCAGACUGCACCUCGUGAAUGAUCCUGGCCCCCUCGUGUAACUAUAAUAGUAUCCUGCCAGCGUCAGUGUACUUUCUAGGAAUCCUUUUCAGGAUUUCCUGGUUCACCUCUUACCGUUUUGUGUAAGAAGAAACGAGACAAAUUAAUGCAUGAGGCCCAUUCUGUGAAAAGGCAGGUGACUAAAUACCAGCGUGCUUCCAGUGCAAGUGUAAUAAUGUAAUUAUGUAAUUUGUAAAAUUAGAAUAAUAUAAAGGAAAACCUUCCACAUAUACAGGACGUUUUUUUUUUUUUUUUUUAAAUCUUGGAGAAGUACGUAGUGUACCAGUCAACCAAAGCCAAAAUAUGUGGUUUGGACUUUGGUGUAAUGAAAAGGUAUAAUAGUGGAGAAAGUUGGCAUCCCCGUAAGUACCCUCUACCAUAAUUUUUAAUCUCAGUAUUUUAGCUGAAACUGUAAAAAUGCGAACAUGUUUUAUAAUAUCCCAAGUGUUCAUCAGAUUAAACAAGACAGAGAUUUCCGUAAAGUCCUUACUAUGCUCUUGGCAAGAAAGUGAAGCUGAGCUUUUUUUUUUUUUUUUUCCUUUCCAAAAUAUCACACUGUUCCUUUGAAUCUCUGUGACCCUGAUUAGGGCAGGGCUCUGUUCGAUUGUUUUCUGUCUCGCCUCGACUUCUAGCUGGGCACCAGCUUUCAGUUUUCACCCAGGAGUGUGAAUGGAUGAUGAUUUUCAGAAUUCAAAUUACCAAAUUACAAACUCACUUUCCAGCAGGCACCUUGCACACACAUACACACACACACACACACACACACACACACACACUACUGAAUUUUGUGUACUUGUUUCUUACCAUUUCCUUCCUUCCUCAUCCUAUUCUCCGUCGCCGACCUCCACUCGUCCUGAGUGGGCCUCACCAUUUAUCACGUUGAUGUACAUAUGUAAAGUUUGCGUUUAGAAGAAUCUGCAUGGGUUUCCAUUGCAAGCAAUAAGGAUAAUGAUAUGACUAAUAACACGAGGAGGUUUGAUAAGAUUUUAAGCUUAAUGAAUGUAUAUUAAACAUUUAGACUACUAAAAGAGUGUAUUCACCUCUUUGAAUGCAAGAAGAGGUGGGACGGGUUAACGUUAUGCAUGCCAAAUACUAUGACGCUAAUGGUCCGAAUAGGCCAACUUAGGUAUUGUAAAGGGGCUUGGGUGAGGGUGGGAAAGUUUAUUUUUGCUAAUAGGUCUUGUACGGCUGCUUUCUUAUCAAUCUUGAGACUUAUAAUAGGAGAAAUAGUAACAAUCGAAGCUUUUUUUCUUCUUCUUCUUCUUCUCUUUUUGCCUCUCUUUUCAUUGAGAACUGUUUUGAAAGAAGCCCCCCAAGGUCCUUUGUCAUUUGAUUAGAUAUAUAAUGUAUAUAUGCGUGCACAUGAAAACACCAGAACAGAAAACAGAAAAAAAACAACAAAAAAAAACAGAAAACCAUAAUGUGAGUGAGCGUUUUGCUCCAGAGACACAGUAAUGAUGAGCCCGAGCUUGACCCUCCCUAUGUGCUUCCAAACAUUUCAAGGCUUGACUCGGCUCAUUCUCCAAGUGGACCUUUUUGCCCACUCCUGUGAUCACAGCAGUCUGUGGCAUCUAUUUCCCUCUGACCCCGUUUUUGUUGGUAGAAUCAUAAAGAAGAUGUCAAAGGGGAGGGGGGGCGAGAAAAAAAAAAAAAGGUACAGUGAGGAACAGCCACCUCUUCUACACAGUAAAUUACAUGAAUUUAAAAAUUUGUGUCAGGGACUUCUCAGCUAAGUCACUACCUAACUGGGAUAGCGCCAGGAUUAUCACACAAGCUGCUUGCAUAAAGAAUUGCCGACUAACUCUUAAGAAACGAGGAAAAAUCCAGCUUACUCCCUGGUUUUCUAGACCCCUCCGCUAAGGACGAGAGACUCUCUCCUUGUCAGAGUUUCACCGUAUGUUGUUCCCAUCCGGCUUCUCGUUCGUCGUCCGUCCACGCCGUUUCCAUCUGUCCUGCCCCUGUUUGUCGUUGCUUGCAUUUAUACUCCGAUCCAAUCCAAAAGACAGGAUGCCUCUGCAACGAUUCAAUGCAACCUCAAAGCAAAUUGAUGACAAGUGAACCUGCUAGGUGGCCUCAGGGACAACUUAGUAGUGGGCUCCUUUUUUGUGGCACCUCUACCUAAAACCAAAUCAUCCAUGUCCUUUGGUUAUAAUUUAAUUAAAUUUAACAAAAUUUGUUUACGGAUGUUCACCGUGGAAGCAUACGACAUUGGCCUCAGUUUGAUAUAAAUGAUGAUGAAGUGGUUCUCGUCCUGGGAUUGACUUUAUUGUGGUGCAUGCUGCAGAAGAAUCAUCAGAGAACAAUAACCACACAGAUGAACGUUGGUUAGCCGAUCUCCUUGUUGGCGAUCCAUACUUAAUCAGGCGGGUGGGCAGCAUCAGUGUCUCCCUAAUUUUGCCAAGAGGAGAGAUUUCCAAAACGGUUCAAUGGUCUAUUCGUACCUAGGUCUUUGAAGAAGUUGCAUUGAAUUCCCAGAGAGAAACUGCAAUUAGAUUCAAGUCAGUCCAAUUUCGGCCACUUAUUCGACGUCCUUGAGCUUCUGCCCCUCGUUGGCCACGUUUCUCUCCUUUUCAUCCUUUCACAACUCAGGUAUUUCUUUCUCGGUCUUUCCUCCUGUUGGUCUUCACACAUGUUUUUCCUCGAUGAUGUACCCAAUUCAUGAAAAAGCAGAGAGACUCGAGAAAAGAAAAGUUGAGCUUUUCUUUGCUUUCUGUGCCUGUGAAUGCCAUGUGCUCUGGUUAUAUUGCCUCCCUCAAAAAAAGAAAAGAAAAGAUGCUGUUUUGUUGUCACUGUCCAACUAUGCUCCCAGUGUUCUCCUUGUGUUGUACCAUCAUCUCUCUGCUCCCCCACCCCCCAACCCCAACCCGCCCCCGUCACGGUUACUGUAUCUCACGUUCCUGCGAUACACCAGAAGCCUUUAAUGUUUGAAAAGGACUGGAGGGGUUUGUCGUAGACCGGAGGAGGGGAGGGGGGAAGAGGGGAAAACGAAAUGUGUUGUCAAAUGAUGUCUUCUGAGUGGAUUGUCAACCUAGCAUCAUCAGAGGGAGGAGAUGGAAGAGAAAAAGUUGGGCAAGAAAGAAAAGUGUGGUGAUGUGGAGGAGGAGAAAAGAAAGAAAGAGCCGAAAAUCGCUUCCCCAUUGCUGAGUUUCUAACCCACUCGCCCCCUUUCUCUACAAGAAGAGGAAAACUGUAAACUCUAAACUGCUGCUCCUACAUAACCCCCCAGUGAGAUUCACUGUAGAAAUAUGGGAGGGAGACAGAAAGAGAAAAAAAAAAUAUAUAAAUGAGAAAAAAAAAAAGCGCUGACACUGAACUGAACAUUUCCAUCACCAUAUGCAAUCAAGUGGAAGGAAAACGACAACAACAAAAAAAAAGAAACAAACAUGCUUCUGAUCACGUGUAAGCCAUUUUUUGAGAGACCAAACGUUUCCACUUCUUUUGAACUGAUUUUCAGAGCAUGGGUGCUCCCAGCUGAGCAGCCUUUGACGGACUUGGAUCUGGAACCCAUGCAACAAGGAUGCCCACAACUUCUUUGUGCAAUUUAGUUGUCAUAUUGCCUUACUGAGAAAAAAAAAAAAAAAAAAGAUCUGCAUUCACUGCUGUUGAUCUCCUGUGGAUGCUCCAUUAUUUCGGCACUCAAGGCGUGGGGCGUUUUCCCACAUGAUGUCUAACGGCUCCGGCGGAGGAGUCGGAUUCUGCGUUUUUUUUCCGCUGGGCUGCCCCGCUAAACUCUGCUGAACCACGUACGGGACCUCUUAACAGACACAGCAGACUGAAGUCUACAUAUCAGAAAAAAACUCGAGCCGGAUCGCACUCGGCCGUCUGUCCGACGUCGGCCCGCGUCUUCCCUGGUGGCGGCCCGGGGCGAGCGCCCCCCCUCCGGACACCGAGCCUCUCCGCGGACGCCGAGGAGGGCCGUUUCAAUCCAAAGAGCGACACGUGGGUUAAAGCACCAGCCGGAAGUGAACAGAAAACCCUCAAAGACAUCCGUGAAAAAAAAACAAAAAAAAAAACAACAGGAGGUAUCGCUGGAGACAAAGAAGUGACCCUCUUUCUCUCUUUCUCUCUCUCUCUCUCUCUCUCCUUCCCUCUCGAGUCUUUACGGUAUCCCGUUUCUCCUCCUCUUUAGCGAGUCUGCAUGGCAUGAAUUAAACUAAUUAGGUCAUAGAUUCAUUUUUCUUUCCACCCGGCAAUGUCAAUGCAAAAAAAUCACCAAAAACCUAGUCACGACGGAGGAGGGGGAGGAGGAGGAGGAGCUCCGCAGACCAUGAGCUCUGUACCUCUGGGGAUAUAUGGGAGAGCGUUGAGGCUAAUUUAAAGAAAGCAGGCAUUCAGCAGGAGUGUGGGGGGUGGGGGGUGGAGGGGGGGGGGGGGAGAACAUCUUUGAGAAACUAUUUUGGGGACAAAAAAAAAAAGAUAAAAACGAAUAAAAAAAAGGCAACAAUUGCAAAUUAGGAAUGCAUUUUUUGACAUUGUUUACCAGCAUGAAUAUUCUGCAUGACUUCUGCAAGCCACUCCGAUCUCCCCCAUGAGUAACAGGGCUAGAAAUUGAGAACAAUGUGAAAAACUAAAGAGAUGUUAUAUGCAACCGAGUAAAAAUGUAGGAUUAUGUUUUAACAGAAAAAAAAAAAAAUAUGAUAAAAUACAUAUUAAGGAAAAAAAGGUAGCGACAUCUACCCUAUUUUUGUUUCUUGUUUCUUAACUGACACACCAACCAGAUCUCUAAAAUACAAAAAAAAAAAUAAAUAAAUAAAAUAUAAAUAAAAAUAAGUCUUCCAUCUUAUGCAAGUCUUUAUUCUAAUACUACAUGCUUGUCUUGUACCACUACGUCGACUCCUCAUCCGGCUGCUGUUCUGGUUCUUUUUCCUCCUCUUCGUCUUCCUGCUCUUCCUCCUUGUGUAGCCUUUUACCAGGACCCUUCUAUGUAACUCACUCCAAUGGCAGCUGUGUCUCUGUCUGGACCCAGGACUACCAAGCAGAACGCUGAACUGAACUGUGCCGUCCGGUCCGAGAUGUCGGACGUGAUUCUCUGUGUUUGAGUUGAAACAAAAAAAAAAAAAAAGAAGAAAAAAAAAGUGUCUGUUGUCCCCUUUUCCUUGCACCUUUCUUCUCGGCCUUGAUUAAAAAAAAAAAAAAGAAGAAGAAAAGAAAAAAAUAAAGGCAUCACCAACAACAUCUUCAGUGUCGGCCCCGGACCUCACCUCUCCGAGGGAGGUCUGGGCUCAAGUACCAAGACGGGAGAAGGUACAGGCGUUUUUACUCACGCGAUGAUCCAGGCUGGUCAGUUUACUUCCUCAGGUGAAAAGGUACGAGAUGGCUGCCUCAUCAUCCGGGAUUUGUUGUUCAGCUACCUCACUGCUUCUUUCCCCCCAACGCUAGCUUUAGUUGUGGCCAAAAUAAACUCCUCCUCCUCCUCCUCCUCCUACUGGGUUGGGGUUGACUUUAAAUAAUGCUGUAAACGUGAAUAAACCGAGGGUUGUAGCCAGGAUUUUUAGAAAAUACCAAAGUCCCUCAGCUAACCAACGGACUCUGAAGGAAGGAAGUUUUAGUUAUUCUUUGAACUUUUCAGUUUCACCACAGACGUUCAUACUGUACACGUAGUAAAGGCGAACUAUAAAAGAGCAUCCACCAGCCGAAUCGGCAGCUUUCUCACGGUUUAGCGUUGCCAAAGCUCCCCGUUGCGACUCUGUCAAAGAACCACGCCAUCCAAUAAUGAACCGCAGCGUGAGACUUCCUAAUAAAGUAGCAUUUUCCCUUGGAAGAUCUUGCGCUGUUUUCACUAUUCUUUAGCUGCGCCGUGUCGCUUUGAAGUGUAGCUUAGUUUCAAGGGGACGUAUCGUCCUCAAUGCGUCACCCCUGCUUUAAAAUCACCAGCUUUGUUCGUUUGAAGGCUGAUAAACAGACGCCAUCGAUGUUGAAGCGGCAUUCGAAUUAAUCGCGUUUACCCAAUCUUAUGUAGCAGCAUCCCACGCGACGACGACCAGCUAAACCACAGAGUGUUUACUGUGCAAGUGAGAGAGACGCUAGCAGAUGGUUCGAGCAAUAACACACUCUAACUUCACACCAGUUUCUCAAAAUGCUUUAACUGUGAAAUAGUCCGCCAGUCACUGAGACGACGAGAUGAGCGGAAACAUCAGAGGAGGUAGAAGUGAACAGGGGUUGGGUGGAAGGGCGUUAAACGAUGAACAGCAAUUUCUGUGCGGCAGUGACGCAGGGUGAGAGGCAGCCAUCUUUACUCUGUAUGUCCAAAAAAAACAGGGUCUGGCAACUACCCCUAUCAUCAGAGGCAGCCGUUUGUACCGGGCUGUUUGAAAAGUCCACGGACAUGUUUGAAGAAAGCCGACGGAAAAGCCUUUAAAGGGCGGCAGAAGCACUUUGUACGGCCUGAGAAGCGGUAGAUUGUCAGAGUGUCUGGAUUUGGGUGGUGCUGGAACUUCUCAUUUCUCAUGCUGUUUAUUUUUUUUUUAUCUGAAAUUGCUCUGUAUUAAUUGGUGUCUCUGAGCACAUUUGCUGUUUCUCGAGAGUCAGAUGGCGGCAAAAAGGAAACAAAAUGGCUGCAAAGAGACGCAAACCAACGACAACAGAGCGAAAACUGAUACAAAGAAAUAAGAGCAAAAUUAUUGGAUUAAAAGGACUCAAGGAUCAAAGUGAUUACAGAAACUGAUUAUUACAAAAAAAGAAGAAGAAAUCAUCUUCACCAUUAUCUUUUUGCGUCUCUUUUCACUCUGACUGUCUUGCUUCUUUGUGGGGAUGAAGGCGUGACGGGCAUUUACAUCUCUGUGGGUUCAUUGUCUCAUAAUUGCAUUUUGUGUUUUUUUUUUGUUUUUUGUUUUUUUUUGUUUCGUGGCAGACACGCAGCAGGGAUAAGAAAUAAUAAAAUCCUUACGUGAAAUAAGAGAGGGAGAAAAAAUAGUCAUAAUUUGCGAACAAAUUAAAGAUGACAAACAUUUAUUUGGCGAAAAACUGGCCAGCUGUUUGGAGCGAAAACUGUACUGUUGACUCCGCUUUAGCCAAACUCUGCACUCCAUGCUUUUCAACAAGGGCUAUCGAGCUUCAAGGUGUGUUUCGAGCAAGCAGUUGCCGUUUUGCAAAAAUUGCCACAAAGAUGGAACUUCAAACCGUAGGUUCUUUUUAUUGAUAUCACGUUUCGAACCUCUAACCCGUGUCAGAAUAUGUUUCCUAGCUGUGUAAAUGUUACUAUCGGAAAUAUAUGCAAAAUGGGUCCGCUUCAGUAGCUUUUGAUUGGUUUUACGCGGUAAAUUCCUCUUAAAUUUGAUAAUCUUUGCUUUCGAGGUGUGCUUGAGACCCUUUGUGCAUUCGAUGAAUUGUUAGUGUGGACUGUCCAAGGCGCUCAGAGACUCUUUGAUAAUGUGACCGUUGACUUGCGAGUCUGGCAGCUACCAGCCUUGGCUGAAUCCAGGUUUGGAAAUUUGGAUUCUGACGAGGUCCGGUACCCCACUGAAAUGUCCAUCUGUUUUCUACAGAGCAGUUCUUUCUCCUUUGCGAAGACUGCAAUAAUAUUUUAGGAUUAAUUAUACAUCAUUAAGUGUAGCACUUGCAGCCUGAGCCAUGCUAAACUAAAUCCAAUGACUUGAAGGGCCGCGGCUGAAACAGAGAAUAAUAAAAAUAAAAAUAAUAAUAAUAAUAAUAAUAAGAGUAUCCUCCUGCUGCUACAUAUAAAAUUUGGUUUGCACUACAUUAUAGGGAAAAAAAAGAAUAAAUAUCUGACAUAUGCACUACCAGUCAAAAGUUUGGACACACCUUCUUCUCACUGAACUGAAUGAGAAGGUGUGUCCAAACUUUUGACCGGCAGCGCCCACAUCAAAUGUUAAGGUGUCACACAGCAGGAUAAAAGGUGUCCGUUUGUUUGUUUUUCCUCUUAUGGUUUUUCACUGUGAAUUUCUCUGUAUCAAUCUGGUGGAGUCUUAACAAACCGAAUAAAAUUGAACCGAGUAAAAACAGAAAACAGAAAAAAACAGAGCCUAUCUCAGGAAUAUACUGUAUCCAAAAUCAGAGAGGUGGAACAUCAAGAGUGUGUAUGUGUUUUCAGGACGGAAUCGUGAUAACUAAUUUUCAAAACAGCAUUUUGAUCAUAUCAAUGGGCAAAUCUGGAACGACUUCACUCUUAGCCUGGAGAGCUUAAGCCUGAAGUCUAAACUCAGUCAAGUUGUCUUUCCUCGCUGCACUAGUGUGGACAUUUUUGAGUGGUACUGUAUGGGAUAAGAAGGAUUGGUUCUGAAAAUUGAUAUCCCUUGUCUCCCUAUAGUACAGCUUCAGAAAUGUCAAAAAAAAAAUAAUGAAAUAAAAAUAAUAAAAGCCUACAAUGUACUGUAUUGUAGCGAUAACCAAGAUGUACACAACUUUUGUCAGUGUCAUUAAUUUUGUUGCAUAUACUGCUGUCAGCAUUAUUUUAUCUGCUAAAACUGUAUUUUUGGUUCACAUAUAUAUAUUUUGUAUUUUUUAACAUGCAAUGAUGAAAAAAAAAUGUGAUUAUGAAGAAUAUAACAAUGCAUCAACAAAUGCUUUUGUAUACAAGCAUGCAGUGAACAUAAAGAGAACCUAUGCACGCACCAA